rnacentral:rRNA from 1 species
CCUACGGGCGGCAGCAGUGGGGAAUAUUGCGCAAUGGGCGAAAGCCUGACGCAGCGACGCCGCGUGAGGGAUGAAUGUCUUCGGAUCGUAAACCUCUGUCAGCAGGGAAGAACGGUCACUGUGCUAAUCAGCAUUGAAUUGACGUUACCUGCAAAGGAAGCACCGGCUCACUCCGUGCCAGCAGCCGCGGUAAUACGGAGGGUGCGAGCGUUAAUCGGAAUUACUGGGCGUAAAGCGCGCGUAGGCGGUAUGUCAAGUCAAGGGUGAAAUCCCCGGGCUCAACGUGAGAACUGCCUUUGAAACGGGCAAACUGGAGUGUGUGUGAGGAUGGUGGAAUUCGAGGUGUAGGAGUGAAAUCCGUAGAUAUCUGGAGGAACAUCGGUGGCGAAGGCGACUAUCUAAAACAUAACUGACGCUGAGGAGCGAAAGCGUGGGUAGCAAACAGGAUUAGAUACCCCAGUAGUC